CCCGACGGGGUGCAGCAGGCGCGAAAACUUGGCAAUGCGAGAAAUCGUGACCAGGGAACUCCAAGUGCGUAGGGUAAGACCUACGCUUUUCUUGACUCUUCAAAGGUCUUGGAAUAAGGGGUGGGUAAGGACGGUGCCAGCCGCCGCGGUAAUACCGGCGCCUCAAGUGGUAGUCGCUUUUAUUGGGCCUAAAACGUCCGUAGCCGGUCUGGUGCAUUCGUGGGUAAAUCAACCCGCUCAACGGGUUGAAUUCUGCGAGCACGGCCAGACUUGGGACCGGGAGAGGUGUGGGGUACUNUCAGGGUAGGGGUAAAAUCCUGUCAUCCUGAGAGGACCACCUGUUGCGAAGGCGCCACACUAGAACGGAUCCGACGGUCAGGGACGAAACCUAGGGGCACGAACCGGAUUAGAUACCCGGGUAGUCCUAGGUGUAAACGCUGUGGACUUGAUGUUGGGGGCGCUCCGAGCGCUCUCAGUGUCGAAGCGAAGGUGAUAAGUCCANGNU
rnacentral:rRNA from 1 species